GCUUGCUUCAGCAACACAUAUACUAAAAUUGGAACGAUACAGAGAAGAUUAGCAUGAUCCCUGCACAAGGAAGACACACAAAUUCAUGGAACGUUCCAUAUUUUU
ensembl:snRNA U6 U6 spliceosomal RNA